rnacentral:rRNA from 1 species
UCUUGAUUUUUUAUAGGUUUAAUAAUAUAGAAUAAAUAUUUUUAUAUUUUAUAAAAAAUUUUAUUGGGGUGAUAAUGAAAUUUAUAAAACUUUUAUUUUUUAAAAAUAUUUAUGCAUAAACUAAUGAUCCAUAAGGAUGAGUAUAAAUUUAAGU